rnacentral:rRNA from 1 species
UGGUUAUUGCAUGGCUGUCGUCAGUUCGUGUUUUGAAAUCUAGAAUUUCUUCAUAAACGAACCAAACCCUUGUUUUGUAUAAAAUUACAGAAUAGAUAAUUAGCUCAGUUAAUUAUUUUAAAUUUAAGGCUGAAGUCAAGUCCUUACGGUCUGUGUAUGCUGGGCUACACACGUGUUACAAUGGUAAAAACAGUAGAGAAAUAAAGUUUAACCUUUAGUUUUUAAAAAAUUACCUUAGUACGAAUUGUUUUUUGAAACUUGGAAGCAUGAAGUAGAAAUCGUUAGUAAUCGCAAAUAAGUAUGCUGCGGUGAAACAAAAGUCAAAUCCUGCACACACUGCCCAUCACGCUCAAAGAGUUUUAGGUGUGGAAGUCGAAUUUAAGAAGUAUAGUUUUUUUUUUAAAAAACUGGCUUUGUUAACACAAAGAUUUUUAAUGAUAAAGUUAAUUUUUAUUGUUAAAUGCUUAGAUGAGGAACACGAAAACAAAUAUUU